AGCGAACGCUGGCGGCAGGCCUAACACAUGCAAGUCGAACGAAGCCUUCGGGCUUAGUGGCGGACGGGUGAGUAACACGUGGGAACGUACCUUUUGGUUCGGAACAACUCAGGGAAACUUGAGCUAAUACCGGAUGAGCCCUUAGGGGGAAAGAUUUAUCGCCGAAAGAGCGGCCCGCGUUAGAUUAGCUAGUUGGUGAGGUAAAGGCUCACCAAGGCAACGAUCUAUAGCUGGUCUGAGAGGAUGAUCAGCCACACUGGGACUGAGACACGGCCCAGACUCCUACGGGAGGCAGCAGUGGGGAAUCUUGCGCAAUGGGCGAAAGCCUGACGCAGCCAUGCCGCGUGAAUGAUGAAGGUCUUAGGAUUGUAAAAUUCUUUUACCAGGGACGAUAAUGACGGUACCUGGAGAAAAAGCCCCGGCUAACUUCGUGCCAGCAGCCGCGGUAA
rnacentral:rRNA from 1 species